rnacentral:rRNA from 1 species
AGCAGCCGCGGUAAUUCCAGCUCCAAUAGCGUAUAUUAAAGUUGUUGCAGUUAAAAAGCUCGUAGUUGAAUUUCGAGAUCGGCUUACUGGUCGUGCUUUUGUACGUACUGGUAUAAUCGGUUUCUCCUUUCUGACGAACUAUAAUGCCAUUAAUUUGGUGUUAUAGGGAAUCAGGACUGUUACUUUGAAAAAUUAGAGUGUUUAAAGCAGGCUCACGCUUGAAUACAUUAGCAUGGAAUAACGGAAUAGGACGUUUGAUUCUAUUUUGUUGGUUUCUAGGAUCGACGUAAUGAUUAAUAGGGAUAGUUGGGGGCAUUAGUAUUCAAUUGUCAGAGGUGAAAUUCUUGGAUUUAUUGAAGACUAACUACUGCGAAAGCAUUUGCCAAGGAUGUUUUCAUUAAUCAAGAACGAAAGUUAGGGGAUCGAAGACGAUCAGAUACCGUCGUAGUCUUAACCAUAAACUAUGCCGACUAGGGAUCGGAUGAUGUUAAUUUUUAAUGACUCAUUCGGCGCCUUACGG